UACGAAGGGUGCAAGCGUUACUCGGAAUUACUGGGCGUAAAGCGUGCGUAGGUGGUUUGUUAAGUCUGAUGUGAAAGCCCUGGGCUCAACCUGGGAAUGGCAUUGGAUACUGGCGAGCUAGAGUGCGGUAGAGGGUAGUGGAAUUCCCGGUGUAGCAGUGAAAUGCGUAGAGAUCGGGAGGAACAUCUGUGGCGAAGGCAGCCUUCUGGGCCAACACUGACGCUCAUGCACGAAAGCGUGGGGAGCAAACAGG
rnacentral:rRNA from 1 species